rnacentral:rRNA from 1 species
UGUGUGCCUUGGAGUCUCAAAGAAUUGAUCUUGGUCAGGACGAACGCUGGCGGCGUGCUUAACACAUGCAAGUCGAACGGGAGUAUUGAAGAAGCUUGCUUUAGAGAUACUUUAGUGGCGGACGGGUGAGUAACGCGUGAGGAGCUGUCCUAUGCAGGGGGACAACAGCUGGAAACGGCUGCUAAUACCCCAUAAGCCGAGAGGUAAAGGAUCAAUCCGGCAGAGGAGGUACUCGCGUCCUAUCAGCUAGUAGGUGAGGUAACGGCUCACCUAGGCGAAGACGGGUAGCCGGCCUGAGAGGGCGAACGGCCACACUGGAACUGAGAUACGGUCCAGACUCCUACGGGAGGCAGCAGUGGGGAAUAUUGGGCAAUGGGGGAAACCCUGACCCAGCGACGCCGCGUGGGUGAAGAAAUCCUUCGGGAUGUAAAGCCCUGUUGUAUGGGAAGAGCGGAAGACGGUACCAUACGAGGAAGCCCCGGCAAACUACGUGCCAGCCGCUGC